AGUGAACGCUGGCGGUAGGCCUAACACAUGCAAGUCGAACGGCAGCACAGGAGAGCUUGCUCUCUGGGUGGCGAGUGGCGGACGGGUGAGGAAUACAUCGGAAUCUACUUUUUCGUGGGGGAUAACGUAGGGAAACUUACGCUAAUACCGCAUACGACCUACGGGUGAAAGCAGGGGAUCUUCGGACCUUGCGCGAUUGAAUGAGCCGAUGUCGGACUAGCUAGUUGGCGGGGUAAAGGCCCACCAAGGCGACGAUCCGUAGCUGGUCUGACAGGAUGAUCAGCCACACUGGAACUGAGACACGGUCCAGACUCCUACGGGAGGCAGCAGUGGGGAAUAUUGGACAAUGGGCGCAAGCCUGAUCCAGCCAUACCGCGUGGGUGAAGAAGGCCUUCGGGUUGUAAAGCCCUUUUGUUGGGAAAGAAAUCCAGCUGGUUAAUACCCGGUUGGGAUGACGGUACCCAAAGAAUAAGCACCGGCUAACUUCGUGCCAGCAGCCGCCGUAA
rnacentral:rRNA from 1 species